UUAAAAACUAAGUUGUUUAUUGAGAACUGAAUAAUUUAAAAUGUUUUGUAAGCAGUUUUUAAAUGUAUUUCGAAAUUAUUUUAGUUAUUUUGAAAAAUGUAAAUUAGGGUGAAUGUUUCGUGAAUUUGAUUAGUCAAUUUGAGCACAGGACUCUUGUAUAAAUACCAGUUUUCUUUACUCUUAACUUAUUACCAGUCUGAGUGGUGUUCAGAUAACAGAUACAUAACGUAAGGAUGAAAUUUGCGUUGAUCGUUUUCUUUGUCAGCGUUUACAGCUGUGCCCAUGCAAGUCCUGGGUCGGAUUUUCUAGGAGUUCUUGCUUGGACAAAUGACGUUGAUCUUGAGACAGUUCACACUGGCGAAGAGGCAUGUCAAGUCAAAGAAGGUACAGCUUUCAGCUAUGAGGAUUGCAUAAACGCUAUUGUUGAUAAUGUUUGUUCCGGAAACUGUAACGGAAGAGCUCGGGAUGUUGUUUCAUCUGUUAUCUGGUAUGAAGUGAUCCAAAAAUCGGCUUUUGAAUUUUGUGCAGAAGCAGAAGAUUACUGGGGUUGCGUAUGGCUGUUAUCUGAACCAACAAAAUGCCAGGAGAAACGAUCUUUUAAUAUCAAAAAGUCUGCUGAAUCAGGAUACGAUCUUCCAAAGCUGCCACCAAAACCUAGUGAGAAAAGGAGCUUGAAUUUCGGAAACUUGAAAAAUGUUCUUAAAUCAAACAAUGGUGGACGUAGUCUUUUGAAGAAAAUGCUGACUAUCAAGAAAUAACUUUUGUAAGAAUAUGGUGGAGCCUAACGACUAAUGAACUGUGACACGGACACGGACACGGACAAUGAUUAUAGUGAUUGUAAUAAUACUUUUGGGGACAUUGGACGGGACUAAAAAAACAAAUAGGGGUUACUUUUCAUUACUGUAUGUGAUUUGAAAUUAAAAAAAAAAUUUGUUUUAAAGGCAUUUGUUUUAAUAAAGAUUUUGUUAGAUAA